UGAGCAAUCUGCCCUUCACAUCGGGAUAAACCCCCGGAAACGGGAGCUAAUACCGGAUACGACCACUUCAGGCAUCUGAUGGUGGCGGAAAGUUCUGGCGGUGAAGGAUGAGCUCGCGGCCUAUCAGCUAGUUGGUGAGGUAAUGGCCCACCAAGGCGACGACGGGUAGCCGGCCUGAGAGGGUGACCGGCCACACUGGGACUGAGACACGGCCCAGACUCCGUACGGGAG
rnacentral:rRNA from 1 species